rfam:Canis lupus familiaris chromosome 17, whole genome shotgun sequence.
UCGCUAUUGAAAUCCAACAUGCUCUCCAUGGGGGCCCAGUGUGCCAUGGCUGCAAACAGUAGCCUCCUUGGUAGUGUAUCCAGCCUGUUGAUUGUAUGGGUUGCCCUAAGGGACCUUGGAGACAGCC